AUUGAACGCUGGCGGCAGGCCUAACACAUGCAAGUCGAGCGGAUGAAGGGAGCUUGCUCCUGGAUUCAGCGGCGGACGGGUGAGUAAUGCCUAGGAAUCUGCCUGGUAGUGUGGGAUAACGUCCGGAAACGGGCGCUAAUACCGCAUACGUCCUGAGGGAGAAAGUGGGGGAUCUUCGGACCUCACGCUAUCAGAUGAGCCUAUGUCGGAUUAGCUAGUUGGUGGGGUAAAGGCCUACCAAGGCGACGAUCCGUAACUGGUCUGAGAGGAUGAUCAGUCACACUGGAACUGAGACACGGUCCAGACUCCUACGGGAGGCAGCAGUGGGGAAUAUUGGACAAUGGGCGAAAGCCUGAUCCAGCCAUGCCGCGUGUGUGAAGAAGGUCUUCGGAUUGUAAAGCACUUUAAGUUGGGAGGAAGGGCAGUAAGUUAAUACCUUGCUGUUUUGACGUUACCAACAGAAUAAGCACCGGCUAACUUCGUG
rnacentral:rRNA from 1 species